rnacentral:rRNA from 1 species
GGGCUCACACAAGCGGUGGAGGAUGUGGCUUAAUUCGAGGCUACGCGAAGAACCUUAUCCUGGACUUGACAUGCACGGAUGGGCCGCCUGAAAGGGAUGGUUCCUGCCUUCGGGUGAAACGUGCACAGGUGCUGCAUGGCUGUCGUCAGCUCGUGUCGUGAGAUGUCGGGUUAAGUCCCUUAACGAGCGAAACCCUUGUCACUAGUUGCCAGCGAGUCAUGUCGGGGACUCUAGUGAGACUGCCGGUGUUAAACCGGAGGAAGGUGGGGAUGACGUCAAGUCCUCAUGGCCUUUAUGUCCAGGGCUGCACACGUCCUACAAUGGCGCAUACAAAGGGAAGCGAACCUGCGAGGGCAAGCAAAUCCCAAAAAGUGCGCCUCAGUUCGGAUUGCAGGCUGCAACUCGCCUGCAUGAAGCCGGAAUCGCUAGUAAUCGCGGGUCAGCAUACCGCGGUGAAUGUGUUCCUGAGCCUU